rnacentral:tRNA from 1 species
CCGCCCGUAGCUCAAUGGUAGAGCAGCAGCCUUUUAAGCUGACGGUUGAAGGUUCGAGCCCUUCCGGGCGGACAA